GUCCCGCAUGGUAGUGGUGGAGGAAUCGAAGUAUUUCCACACGCACAUGUUAGAUCAGUGAAUAUCAUCUCGAGGCAAGGAGGGCAAUGGCCACUAUGGCACAAAGAUUCACAGGAAUGCUGCCCGCACCUUAGCUUCUUCCCACAAGGUAAUUGGCAUACGUGUUCGUCCCAAUCACCGGAUAGAUCAUUCUUCUUCGCGUUCAAGAGAGGGCAGCAACGCUCACUACAUCUAUGUCUCCCACAAUUCUUCUUACGCCCACAUGGUUUAGAACACACAAACUUAUCCGUCUCUGAAGAAGUUGUUAUGUAGCAUUCCACAGUCCUGGAUGUCGAACCACACCGGCAUUUCUGGUUGACUUGCACUAAACAAGGAGGGCAAUCACCUGAAUGGCACAACUCGUUGCAAGUAUGUAAUCCACAAGGAAGAAGCUUACUGCAUAGGUUUGAGCAAGAAGGAAUUGGGUCCAAGCAACUCUGCCUGGUCUGUUCUUCUAGACGCGUUUUCCCACAAUAGCACGUCUUAACUCUACUCGUUGCUGAUCUCCACGCAGCGGCUUGAAUAUCUGUAGAUGAUCCUCCAAUGGGGGAAUCUUCAGCUCCCCAGUUCUCAUCACUCUCCUGAAUCACUGCUUUCUUCCAUGGAUUUGCUUUCUGUACAUCCCAGGAUGAGCUGCUAGGUAGUUUUCCCCAUGCAUUACCACCGAGUGAUGGAGAUUGCUGACCGUUCUGGACGACCACUGCUCCAUGGUAUACAGAACCGUGGUCCAGCCUCCUCAUGGCAGUGGCGGCUCGGGCAUGGUCGUGGAACACGGCCAAAGCGUUCUUGUCAUUCAGCCAAACAAGCUCACAUUCACCUCCAAAUCUCAGCACCAAAGCGCUGAUAUUCGCCUCCCUCGGGAGAUCCAGUAAUGACACCACCAGCCUAGGAUCCAUAUCCACCAGCGGAUCAAAGGACGGUGGGUGAGGCCCGCCUAGCGAGACAGCGCCACCCCUAGCUCCAAUGAUUCGUGUUGGCGGUUUUGACUUUUGUGUUACGUGGACCACUGUAAACCGUUUUGGCUCCCACCCUGCAUUGCUAACCGCAAGUUUCCAUCUCUCAGCUAGAAGUCUAACCGUGUCUCGUUUAUCCUUUUGCAUCGGGCAGAAUACAUGGACCUUAAGGGUGCUUGUGCUUCCUCUAGCCUUCCCAAGUACCAGGUACUUGAAGCGCUCUUCAACAGCCAGUACCCACUUAGGAUCACGCCUAUAGAUGUCCGAAAUAAUCUCUGUCAUAGCAGCAUUCUCGCUAAAAUGUAAAGAGUCCAGAUUUGGGGGAGUGAUAUCAAACGCGUCUUGAAGAACACGCUUACGCUCCAGUUUAGCACACUCAUCAUCACACGAAAGCUUUCGCUGCCCGAGAGGGAUUCGGCUUCCAUUCGACUCAACAGGCUGAAGCGAAGUUGGAAGCUUCUGCAAAACAGAGGCUUCAUAGAUAGAAUCAACACUAAGAUUGCUGGUACUUCCUCCUCCCGCAUCGCAAGGAACAGUAGCGGUUAUGCGACCACACGAACAUGUUAUUGUGACUGGAAAUUCACAUCUUGUGUCAGGGCAAGGCUGCGAAGGAUGGCAAAGAGCUGCACAAGUGUGCCUGCAAUCUCUUCUAGGAGCACUACAAGUCUGUCCACAUGUAACACGCAGAGCUGCUUCAGAUUCAUUGUAAGUGUCACAUGCCUCCGGGUGGCAAGUUCUGGCACAAGCAUGCAUGCCACAACGCCUCGUCUUUCCACAAAUCUUGUUACAUCUGAUGUCUUUCAGCCCACAAGGUAUGUUUCUCAGAACCACGUGACCACCAACGCAUUUCUUUUCCACUGGGGCAGAACAAGGAGGGCAAUCUCCAAAAUGGCAUCCAUGCGUAGCAGAAUGGCCACAAGGCUGAGGAAUGGAGCAUGGAAGCUGGCAGCUAGGAACAGGCGUCCCGCAUGGUAGUGGUGGAGGAAUCGAAGUAUUUCCACACGCACAUGUUAGAUCAGUGAAUAUCAUCUCGAGGCAAGGAGGGCAAUGGCCACUAUGGCACAAAGAUUCACAGGAAUGCUGCCCGCACCUUAGCUUCUUCCCACAAGGUAAUUGGCAUACGUGUUCGUCCCAAUCACCGGAUAGAUCAUUCUUCUUCGCGUUCAAGAGAGGGCAGCAACGCUCACUACAUCUAUGUCUCCCACAAUUCUUCUUACGCCCACAUGGUUUAGAACACACAAACUUAUCCG
rnacentral:lncRNA from 1 species